UCGGAAUUACUGGGCGUAAAGCNCACGUAGGCGNCUUGUAAGUCAGGGGUGAAAUCCCACAGCUCAACGUGAACUGCUUUUGAUACUGUCAGUCUAGAGUAUAGUUGAAGUUGGCGGAAUGUGUCAUGUAGCGGUGAAAUGCUUAGAUAUGACACAGAACACCGAUCGCGAAGGCAGCUAGCUAAGCUAUAACUGACGCUCAUGCACGAAAGCGUGGGGAUCAAACAGGAUUAGAUACCCUGGUAGUCCACGCUGUAAACGAUGAUUACUCGAUGUUGGCGAUACACAGUCAGCGUCUGAGCGAAAGCAAUAAGUAAUCCACCUGGGGAGUACGAUCGCAAGAUUGAAACUCAAAGGAAUUGACGGGGGCCCGCACAAGCGGAGGAGCAUGUGGUUUAAUUCGAUGAUACGCGAGGAACCUUACCUGGGCUCGAACGUAAGAUGACUGUAGGUGAAAGCUUACAUCUCUUCGGAGCAUUUUACGAGGUGCUGCAUGGUUGUCGUCAGCUCGUGCCGUGAGGUGUCGGGUUAAGUCCCAUAACGAGCGCAACCCCUACCUUUAGUUGCCAUCAGGUCAUGCUGGGGACUCUAAAGGAACUGCCUACGCAAGUAGUGAGGAAGGCGGGGAUGACGUCAAAUCAGCACGGCCCUUACGUCCAGGGCUACACACGUGCUACAAUGGCCGAUACAGAGGGCAGCUACCUGGUGACAGGAUGCAAAUCCCAAAGUCGGUCUCAGUUCGGAUCGGAGUCUGCAACCCGACUCCGUGAAGUUGGAUUCGCUAGUAAUCGCGCAUCAGUCAUGGCGCGGUGAAUACGUUCCCGGGCCUUGUACACACCGCCCGUCAAGCCAUGGAAGCUGGGGGGACCUAAAGUCGAUAACCGCAAGGAGUCGCCUAGGGUAAAACCAGUGACUGGGGCUAAGUCGUAACAAGGUAACC
rnacentral:rRNA from 1 species